CCUACGUGUGGCAGCAGUGAGGAAUAUUGGUCAAUGGACGCAAGUCUGAACCAGCCAUGCCGCGUGCAGGAAGACGGCCCUAUGAGUUGUAAACUGCUUUUGUAAGAGGGUAAAUCCCGAUACGUGUACCGGGUUGAAAGUAGCGUACGAAUAAGGAUAGGCUAACUCCGUGCCAGCAGCCGCGGUAAUACGGAGGAUUCAAGCGUUAUCCGGAUUUAUUGGGUUUAAAGGGUGCGUAGGCGGUUCGUUAAGUUCGAGGUGAUAUCCCGGGGCUCAACUCCGGAACUGCCUCUGAUACUGGCAGGCUAGAGUUUAGUUGCGGUAGGCGGAAUGUGUGGUGUAGCGGUGAAAUGCAU
rnacentral:rRNA from 1 species